GUACAAAAGGAUAAUAUAUAUAUGGUCUGAUUCGUAAUCAGCAGGUCAAGGGUUCGAGUCCCUUCGAAAGCUCCA
rnacentral:tRNA from 1 species